GACGAACGCUGGCGGCGUGCUUAACACAUGCAAGUCGAACGGAAAGGCCCUGCUUUUGUGGGGUGCUCGAGUGGCGAACCGGUGAGUAACACGUGAGUAACCUGCCCUUGACUUUGGGAUAACUUCAGGAAACUGGGGCUAAUACCGGAUAGGAGCUCCUGCUGCAUGGUGGGGGUUGGAAAGUUUCGGCGGUUGGGGAUGGACUCGCGGCUUAUCAGCUUGUUGGUGGGGUAGUGGCUUACCAAGGCUUUGACGGGUAGCCGGCCUGAGAGGGUGACCGGCCACAAUACGACUAAGGGACGGCCCAGACUCCUACGGGAGGCAGUAGUGGAAAAUAUUACGCAAUAGGCGGAAGCCAGAUGCAGCAGCGCCGCGUGCGGAAUGACGGCCUACUAGUUGAAAACCACUUUCGCCUUUAACAAGGCGGUAGUGACGGUAAUUAAUAAAAAAGCACCGGCUAACUACGUG
rnacentral:rRNA from 1 species